GCGCAAGCCUGAUGCAGCCAUGCCGCGUGUGUGAAGAAGGCCUUCGGGUUGUAAAGCACUUUCAGUAAGGAGGAAAGGUUAAGUGUUAAUAGCACUUAGCUGUGACGUUACUUACAGAAGAAGCACCGGCUAACUCCGUGCCAGCAGCCGCGGUAAUACGGAGGGUGCGAGCGUUAAUCGGAAUUACUGGGCGUAAAGCGUACGCAGGCGGUUUGUUAAGCGAGAUGUGAAAGCCCCGGGCUCAACCUGGGAACUGCAUUUCGAACUGGCAAACUAGAGUGUGAUAGAGGGUGGUAGAAUUUCAGGUGUAGCGGUGAAAUGCGUAGAGAUCUGAAGGAAUACCGAUGGCGAAGGCAGCCACCUGGGUCAACACUGACGCUCAUGUACGAAAGCGUGGGGAGCAAACAGGAUUAGAUACCCUGGUAGUCCACGCCGUAAACGAUGUCUACUAGAAGCUCGACUCUUCGGAGUUGUUUUUCAAAGCUAACGCAUUAAGUAGACCGCCUGG
rnacentral:rRNA from 1 species